rnacentral:rRNA from 1 species
UACGGAGGGGGCUAGCGUUGUUCGGAAUUACUGGGCGUAAAGAGCGCGUAGGCGGCUUGCCAAGUUGGGGGUGAAAUCCCGGAGCUCAACUGCGGAACUGCCUUCAAAACUGGUAGGCUCGAGUCCGGAAGAGGGGCGUGGAAUUCCCAGUGUAGAGGUGAAAUUCGUAGAUAAUGGGAAGAACACCGGUGGCGAAGGCGGCUCCCUGGUCCGGUACUGACGCUGAGGCGCGAAAGCUUGGGGAGUAAACAGG